rnacentral:rRNA from 1 species
UACGUAGGGGGCAAGCGUUGUCCGGAUUUACUGGGCGUAAAGCGCGCGUAGGCGGACGCUUAAGUGGGGCCUGAAAGCCCCCGGCUCAACCGGGGAAGGUGGCUGCAAACUGGGCUUCUUGAGGGCGACAGAGGAGUGUGGAAUUCCUGGUGUAGCGGUGAAAUGCGUAGAGAUCAGGAGGAACACCCAUGGCGAAGGCAGCACUCUGGGUCGGACCUGACGCUGAGGCGCGAAAGCGUGGGGAGCAAACAGG